rnacentral:tRNA from 1 species
GUGCCCGUGGCUCAAUGGAUAGAGCACCUGACUACGGAUCAGGAGGUUAGGGGUUCGAGUCCCUUCGGGCACGCCA